rnacentral:rRNA from 1 species
GGUUAAGCGACUAAGCGUACACGGUGGAUGCCCUGGCAGUCAGAGGCGAUGAAGGACGUGCUAAUCUGCGAAAAGCGCCGGCGAGGUGAUAUGAACCCUUGACCCGGCGAUGUCCGAAUGGGGAAACCCAGUGUGAUUCGUCACACUAUCGUUAACUGAAUACAUAGGUUAACGAGGCGAACCGGGGGAACUGAAACAUCUAAGUACCCCGAGGAAAAGAAAUCAACCGAGAUUCCCCCAGUAGCGGCGAGCGAACAGGGAGCAGCCCAGAGUCUGAAUCAGCUUGUGUGUUAGUGGAAGCGUCUGGAAAGUCGCACGGUACAGGGUGAAAGUCCCGUACACGAAAGCACACAGGCUGUGAACUCGAAGAGUAGGGCGGGACACGUGGUAUCCUGUCUGAAUAUGGGGGGACCAUCCUCCAAGGCUAAAUACUCCUGACUGACCGAUAGUGAACCAGUACCGUGAGGGAAAGGCGAAAAGAACCCCGGCGAGGGGAGUGAAAAAGAACCUGAAACCGUGUACGUACAAGCAGUGGGAGCACCUUCGGGUGUGACUGCGUACCUUUUGUAUAAUGGGUCAGCGACUUAUAUUCUGUAGCAAGGUUAACCGUAUAGGGGAGCCGAAGGGAAACCGAGUCUUAACUGGGCGUUAAGUUGCAGGGUAUAGACCCGAAACCCGGUGAUCUAGCCAUGGGCAGGUUGAAGGUUGGGUAACACUAACUGGAGGACCGAACCGACUAAUGUUGAAAAAUUAGCGGAUGACCUGUGGCUGGGGGUGAAAGGCCAAUCAAACCGGGAGAUAGCUGGUUCUCCCCGAAAGCUAUUUAGGUAGCGCCUCGUGAACUCAUCUUCGGGGGUAGAGCACUGUUUCGGCUAGGGGGCCAUCCCGGCUUACCAACCCGAUGCAAACUACGAAUACCGAAGAAUGUUAUCACGGGAGACACACGGCGGGUGCUAACGUCCGUCGUGAAGAGGGAAACAACCCAGACCGCCAGCUAAGGUCCCAAAGUCAUGGUUAAGUGGGAAACGAUGUGGGAAGGCCCAGACAGCCAGGAUGUUGGCUUAGAAGCAGCCAUCAUUUAAAGAAAGCGUAAUAGCUCACUGGUCGAGUCGGCCUGCGCGGAAGAUGUAACGGGGCUAAACCAUG